AGCCAUGUGAUAAGCUUAAAGUGAACUAUUCUUUCGCCUUUUACUAAAGAAUACCGUGGGCUUGUCACUAUUAAAUGGCAUACGGUGAUUUUUGGAAGAGUCCUCUAAGAGGAGUCU
rnacentral:snRNA from 1 species